rnacentral:rRNA from 1 species
ACCUCAAGUCAUGUGAGAGUACUCGCUGAACUUAAGCAUAUCACUAAGCGGAGGAAAAGAAACUAACAAGGAUUCCCCUAGUAAUAGCAAGUGAAGCAGGAAGAGCACAAAUUUAAAAUCUACCUGGUUUCUAGAUCGAGUUGUAAUUUGAAGAUAUAGUUUUGACAUUCCAGGUUGAACUAAAUCCUUUGGGAUAAGGUAUCAUGGAGGGUGAGAAUCCCGUAUAUACCAACCAUAGGGAUGUUAUUUAAUAACGUUUUUAAGAGUCGAGUUGUUUGGGAAUGCAGCUCUAAAUGGGUGGUAAAUUUCACCUAAUGCUAAAUAUAAGCGAGAGACCGAUAGCGAACAAGUACAGUGAUGGAAAGAUGAAAAGAACUUUGAAAAGAGAGUUAAAUAGUACGUGAAAUUGUUGAAAGGGAAACGAUUGAAGUCAGUCAUGCCGGUGGGAAUCAACUUAGGGGAAACUCUAAGUGCACUUCUUCGCUUGGCAGGUCAACGUCGAUUUUGGAUGUCAUAAAAUGAUUGGGGGAAGGUAGCUCCUUAGGGAGUGUUAUAGCCCUUGGUAGAUGUGAUGUCUGGGAUCGAGGAUUGCAAUGGAUACCCUUUGGGGCUAGCCGCCUGUUCUCUAAUUGGUAUUGGGUUACGGAUAGCAUGCUAACCGUGAUCUAAUUAUUGGUUAAAAGAUUAGAGCGUGUUUAAAUUCAUUAAGGACAUUGACGUAAUGGCUUUAAACGACCCGUCUUGAAACACGGACCAAGGAGUCUAACAUGUGUGCGAGUGUU